AUGUGUGACUAUGAUGUCACAAAAAUCUAUGCUUGUUUUCCAGGAAUUUUCCAGGCUAAUAAUAAUAAUAAUAAUAAUAAUAAUAAUAAUAAUAAUAAAUUUAUUCUUAUAUCCCACCACCAUCUCCAGGAAGGGACUAAGGGCGGCUUACGUAUGGGACAAAAUGCCCACAAAACACUAAUACAAAUACAAGCAAUCCAUCAAAGCAAAAUCAGCCCAAUUUGCCAUUAAUAUAAUUUUCCUUUGAUAAAUGGUCUGUUCAGUCUUGGUUUGUGAACUGAAAAGAAAAGGUGAAAGAGGAGUCUUAAAAAUUCUUUAAGGGUGAAAUAAGAAAACUAUGGUCUUGCUUGCUACAAGGGAUUGAAUGGUGGAAGGGACAUAUUCUUUUAAAUCUCAACAGAGGGAACUGACUGAUUCGAAAUGGGUCAACAUUUUGUCUACUUCUGGUAUUUGCACUCUAAUGGUAUUUCAGUAUUUUUUUCACCAAGUCAGCAUCAUUCAUGGUCUCUCAUAUUCAUCUAACACUGAACUGUCCUUUGCUCUCCUAGUAAGUCCUACAUUAUCAGUAUGACAAAUGUGUAGGAGAAAAAAAAACCCAGCAGACUAUGUGUACAGAUUUAAGACUACAAAACCUAUAAAGCAAUGAGACAGGAAAUAUAAAUAUACGAAUACAGUAUUACUCACCGGCGUCAAUGGGAUUUACUUCAUUUUAUGAGUAUGACUUCAUGUAAAUUGAAGCCAAAACAGCUUUUGAGUUACAUAGAGUUACACACAGCAAGAUUUGGCAAAUUAAAAUUUCAAUGCAGAAUGGUACGUACCUGUUCAAAAGGAUUUGAUGUUUCCAAUUUGGCUGACUUAAGUUUUUAUGUAUUUCCCCCUUAAUUCAACUGUUCAUGUUUCCUCGGUGUCGAGAUUAAGUUCAGGUAGAUAAACCAAAUGCAGAUAAAUUGGAUGGUCUAGGGAAGAUCAACUUAGAUUAGAGAGGAUUUCAAAGGGAAAAAUCAAUGAGGAAAUAAUAAUGUGGCAACUUUUAGCCUGAAGGAAGGACAAAAAUAACAUUUUCAAAUAUGUAGAAGGCUGAGGCUCAGAUAGGAGUUAAUGGGCUUAAUGUGCAGAAAGUUAACUUAAAGGUAGAGAUUAAAGUAUGUCUCUGUGUGGGGGACUUUUCUUGCUAGAAUGACAAGAAAGUGGUUCAUGUAACUGAAACUAUAAUUAAAAGGUCUGGAAUAUAAAAUAGUAAUUAUAUAUGCACCACCUGUCUGUUUUGAAAUGGAUAUAAUUACUUUUGCCUUCAUAUAAAGGGGUAAAAUGUACAAAAUCAGGUAUUGUCUACCUAUGGAUAAACACACGCAAAUACUGUCCCCAAAUCUUUUAGAGAAGUACAGUAGAGUCUCACUUAUCCAACACUCACUUAUCCAACGUUCUGGAUUAUCCAACGCAUUUUUGUAGUCAAUAUUUUCAAUAUAUCGUGAUAUUUUGGUGCUAAAUUCGUAAAUAUAGUAAUUACUACAUGGCAUUACUGCGUAUUGAACUACUUUUUCUGUCAAAUUUAUUGUAUAACAUUAUGUUUUGGUGCUUAAUUUGUAAAAUCAUAACCUAAUUUGAUGUGUAAUAGGCUUUUCCUUAAUCUCUCCUUAUUAUCCAACAUAUUCGCUUAUCCAACGUUCUGCCGGCCCGUUUAUGUUGGAUAAGUGAGACUCUACUGUAGUAAUUCUUCAUGACAUUUUCUUCCUGGAACAGAACUUUUUUUCAGUCUCUUGCUUCCCAUUAGUGAAACUAGAUUGUUAUCUUGAUGGCCAGCAAGAUGCAAUGCGUGAUUUACAGAGUUUACAAUGAAUGGGCAAUGAAAAGAGUCAGGUUUGGGUUUAAAAAAAAAAAGAGCAGCUAUUCCAACUGUUCUGACGACUCACACAAAAAAGAGCACACUUUGUUCCUUGCUCAUGUCAUUAAUGACAAACUAAUAUUAGUGUGUGUUACGAUACUUAUAUGUGCCUUCAAGUAGAUUUUGCCUUAUAGCAAUCUAAUCAUAGGGGUGGCUUUGCAAAUUGUUUGUUGUUGCCUUCCUCCUAGGCUGAGUGCGAUAUGACCAAAUCCCAAUGGAUUUCCAUGGCUAAGUGAGAAUUUGAACCCUGGUGUCCAAGAGGCCUAGUUCAGCUCUCAAACCAUUACAACAAGCUGGCUCCUCCAAUCUACUAUACAACAGCAUUUAUGUAUCUGUCUUAGAUCUAUGGUUUGUGUGCAAGUUUAAAUCCAGUGACAUUUCAGCCAUUUGAAGCCAUUCUCGGCCACCUUAAAUCUGGACAUCCAGAAAUCAUACCUCUCCAAAUUCCUGCUUCUUGUUUUUUC
rnacentral:lncRNA from 1 species